rnacentral:rRNA from 1 species
UUAGUGGCGGACGGGUGAGUAACGCGUGGGGAACCUGCCCUGUACAGGGGGAUAACACUUAGAAAUAGGUGCUAAUACCGCAUAAGCGCACAGUAUCGCAUGAUACAGUGUGAAAAACUCCGGUGGUACAGGAUGGACCCGCGUCUGAUUAGCUGGUUGGCGGGGUAACGGCCCACCAAGGCGACGAUCAGUAGCCGGCCUGAGAGGGUGAACGGCCACAUUGGGACUGAGACACGGCCCAAACUCCUACGGAAGGCAGCAG